rnacentral:rRNA from 1 species
GGAACCUGGUUGAUCCUGCCAGUAGUCAUAUGCUUGUUUCAAGGACUAAGCCAUGCAUGCCUCAGAAUAUCUGCAUUUGCAGGAAUCUGCGCAUGGCUCAUUACAUCAGACGUAAUCUGCCGCAAAAACUGUGCGGUUCCGCCGCAUCAUCGGAUACCUUGGCGAAACGCCAAGCUAAUACGUGAACUAAUGAG